rnacentral:rRNA from 1 species
AGUCGAGGGGCAGCGCGGGAUAGCAAUAUCCUGGCGGCGACCGGCGGAAGGGUGCGUAACGCGUGAGCGACAUGCCCGUUGCCCGGGGACAACCGGUGGAAACGCCGACUAAUCCCCGAUGGGAUAUUGUGCCGCAUGGCACGAUAUUGAAAGUUACGGCGGCGACGGAUUGGCUCGCGUCCGAUUAGCUUGUUGGCGGGGUAACGGCCCACCAAGGCUACGAUCGGUAGGGGUUCUGAGAGGAAGGCCCCCCACAAUGGGACUGAGACACGGCCCAUACUCCUACGGGAGGCAGCAGUGAGGAAUAUUGGUCAAUGGGCGGAAGCCUGGACCAGCCAUGCCGCGUGCGGGAAGGAGGCCCUAUGGGCUGUGAACCGCUUUUGCCUGGGGGCAAUAAGGGCGUCGCGCACGCCCGAUGAGAGUACCAGGCGAAUAAGCAUCGGCUAACUCCGUGCCAGCAGCCGCGGUAAUACGGGGGAUGCGAGCGUUAUCCGGAUUCAUUGGGUUUAAAGGGUGCGUAGGCUGUGCGUCAAGUCGGGGGUGAAAUUCCGGUGCUCAACACCGGGGCUGCCCUUGAUACUGUCGCGCUGGAGUGCGGAUGCCGCCGGAGGAAUGAGUGGUGUAGCGGUGAAAUGCUUAGAUAUCACUCAGAACACCGAUUGCGAAGGCAUCUGGCGAAUCCGUAACUGACGCUGAGGCACGAAAGCGUGGGGAUAGAACAGGAUUAGAUACCCUGGUAUUCCACGCCGUAAACGAUGAUGGCUAACCGCCGGCGACACACUG